rnacentral:lncRNA from 1 species
GGUAAAGUAAAAGUACAAUGCCUCACUUUAGGAAUCAGUAUCAUCAAGUACUUGAUGCUUUGAAGAUAGUAGACAGUACUAAUUUUUAAUCAAUAUCCUGAUUUAUGAUCUUAUAAAACAGGGAGAGGCAGUUCAAGACUGGCGUGAAAUAGUGACCUUCUUCUCAUACCCGAUUCGCACCAGAGACUAUUCAAGGUGGCCUGACAAGCCAGAGGCAUGGAAAGCAGUGACCGAGGAAUACAGUAAGAAGCUAAUGGAACUUGCUUGCAAGCUUCUUGGGGUCUUGUCAGAGGCCAUGGGAUUAGAAACAGAGGCCUUAACUAAGGCUUGUGUUGACAUGGACCAAAAGGUGGUGGUCAAUUUCUAUCCAAAAUGUCCACAGCCAGACCUUACACUUGGACUCAAAUGGCAUGAUUGGAGGAAGGUCUCCAAAUAAGAUAUUAUUUGCUAAGAACACUGGCAAGAUUUUCCAGACAGAUUUUCACCCUGCAUAUGACGCAAAUGGCAUGAUUGAGUUCAAUGAACCUGUUCCUUUUCGGCUAACAAGGAACAUGCAGGCAUUCUUCUCCCAUUUUGGAGUAGAAGGUCUUAUUGUGUCUGCCAUGUGUGCUGCAGCACAGGCUGUGGUUUCACCAAAAGUAAGUUUUGGUGACCAUCCUUAGUUGGUGAGUUACUUUGAUGGACAUCAUCCAGAUGUAAUGUUUUUAAAUUUCCAUUUUGCAGCAAAGCAAACAUUUAUGGCAUCAAUUAGCCAUGUUUUUCCGUGAUGAACUUCUGUCUUGGUCUUGGAGACGACCACUGGGGUUGAAUCUGGGACCUGCUGCCAGCGGGAGUAGUAUGAACCCUGCUGAUUUCAAGCACAAGGUCACUACCAACGUAGACAAUGUCAUCAACCGUAUCACUGGAAUUGCUCCACAGCAUCUCUCUGAAGAGGUAACCUCUAUCUCCAAUAUCCCAUCAAAUGUGAUGUCUCAAUUACAUAUUUUGGUAGUUAUGAAUAGCAGAGAUACAGGCCCUGACAUAUUUUGGUUAAUCUGUGGCAAAACCAUCAUGUAUAUUGUAGUGGUGAGGCUUGAAGAUAAGCUGCCUGAUUUGCUUUGGAUAUCUUGAAUCAUCAUCUCACACAUUCUUUGUGGUGAACUGAGAUUUAAAAUAUUGUAGAGUUCAGGAUUGAACUUAAAGCACCAUGGCUUUAUGGUUUGGAUCAGAUACAAGGAAAUUCAUUAACAUUGCAACCCUAAUUGGCUGGAGUUAAAACUAAGACAGAAGUAGCUAAUUUCUUCAUAUUGACUUUACCAAUCGUAUUCGAACAGAAAUUAUUCAUCUUUCUGUGAAGCAGUCAAUAAGCAUAUAUGAUAAGAAAGGUGACUGUUGUCCCAAAUCUGUCAUGAUGCCCAAAAAUGUGAUUAACGGAAGAUCUAAAACUAAUUCGUUUCCUUUGCUGAUGGAAGUGUUUUGUUUUCUUUCCCAUUUUGUGCUGCAUCAGGAAGAAAAUGCUGUGGACCCACCACAGUCGGUGCAGAGGGGUGUCACUGAGUUGGUAGAAGCUGCUUUGACACCAAGGAACUUGUGCAUGAUGGAUCCAACAUGGCAUCCCUGGUUUUAAGCCAUGAAUGGAGAGUAGCGAUUGAAUGUCAAUAGUGGUUUUCUAUUGUAAAUAAAGAUUAUUAUGUACAGCUGAAUCUGGAAAUUGCUGCUAGUUGUCAUUCAUUUUGAUGUCUAAAUAGUUAACGGUAGGCUUUAUAUAUGAAUGUCUACUUAUUGAAUUAAGCAGUUGCAUCAUGACAAUUCUACAAUCAGAUGGAAGAUUUUAGUCUUAGGAGUCCAUGAAAAUGGAACGUGUCUUAACUGAGUUUAUGCACAUUUUAAAUAGUGAACUUAUUAGUUUUUGCCCUUUCCGGGGGGUAUUUUGGUUCUCUUGAAAGGCUCAGUGGCCAUUAAAAUGAUUUAAUUACUUUUAAAAGUAAAAUAUUUGAAACUGGUAUCUAUAGGUUCUUAUUUACUUAAUUUGUUCAAGCACAUUAAAAUGAUUUAAUUACUUUUUAGAACAAGAUUUUUAACAUUUUAAUUACCAUUAAUAACUAAAAAAAUUUAGAACUUGUCAGAGGUUUUUUAUUUUUCUUUUUAUUAUGUAUUUUUCUUCUUUUUUGUUAUUAACAAAUUUAAUGAAAGCUGAAUCUACAAGCAGGGAAUCAAAAAAUAAAGACUAGGCAUCGCGCAAGAUGCUCCAUAGGAAUCCUUCUCUCUUCAUAAUUCAUUCUUCUUUUCGUUAUGGCAAUGCAAUGCAAGAGUAAAUUAUUGAGUUCGACUCGUAUGAAGAUGCUCUCGGGACUACUAAAUUAUUUCAUUUAUACUGUAAAAGUAGUAAACAUCCCUCAACAUCUUCUACUCCCUUCAUACAUGCAACAUAUAGAUUUCUAAAAAAACAGCCAAAACAGCAAAAACCCCAACUAUACAUAGGGAUCAUGUUAAAAUUCUUAAGAAAUAUUAGAUAAAUAAGAGGCACACAUCUCUCCAUGAAAUCCAGCUGCGUCAUCAUAAUCUUAAUUUCCGUGCAAAUAAGCACAAAAUCUCCUUUUAACUCCCGAGAAGAAUCCGCUCUAACAUCCCACUUUCUACCACACCCAAUAUUACUGUUAAGCUCUCUCAGCUGCUCUCUCGUUGAUGACAUUUUCUUGAUUUAAACUUCCUAUCAACACAUCAUUUGCAGAUGUGUUAAUUUAGAACGAGAUUUGCCACAAAACCGAUGACAUUAAUCUUUGUUCCACAGAAGCAUUAUCAUUUGGAGUUAUGAACAAACUAAAAGGAUUGCGCUAUUGUUUCAUUAAUCUUUGUUCCACAGUUUCACUUUCAUGUGUAAAAUCAAAACCCACAAAAUGCUCAAAAAAUGAACAACAAAGCAAAGGAAUUUAUCUUCCAAAUUAAUUGGUGUGGAGAAAGACAUCUAAUGACAAAACCAACUGAUCGGAUAAAAAAAAAAUCACCCAUUCCUCUUCUGUAUGGAAGCGUAUGUGCUUCCCUUUUGGAGUUGGCAAACCCUUCAAGCGUAAAUCAUUCCUCUUCUGUAUGGAAGCGUAUGUGCUUCCCUUUUGGAGUUGGUAAACCUUUCAAGCGUAAAUCAUUAUCUGAAUCCUUAUCUCCACAGUCUACUACUUCUUCAACAAUCUCAUCAUCACUGUUGUAAACAAAUCGUGUGUGCUUUCCUUCAAACUUGGCCAUAGCUUUCUCUUUGACACUUAUUUGGCUAAUGCCUUCACAGAGCUCAUCAAGCAACCCUCCAACAUCAGCCUCCUCCUCCUCCUCUUCUGCCUCUUCAUUUUCAUCACGAUAAUAAUAAUACUCUUCUUCUUCUUCUUCAAUUACUUCUUCCUCAUCUUCAUCAUGGGUGCUUGCAUUGACCUGAAUUGACCAAACAGAGGCAUUGUCAUCAUCUGCCAAUGACUUGUCUUUGCUUUCACUUGUUAUCACUUCACAGUUAUCUCCUUGGUAAGUCAGUGCAGAAGAGCAUUCUGAUGAAUCAGCUGGACUUUCAGAUUUCUCAGAGAAAUCCAGCAUUAAUGACCUCGUCAAACUCUUUUGAGAUUCAAGACUCUCUUGUUUCUUCACUUCAAAGAUCUCACUCACCCCCUGCCAUUAAGAUAGGAACCCAGAUCCAAUAAGAUCCAAAAAGAAAAUCAAAGUAACAGUUGAUAAAACUCUAGAUUAUCAAACACAAGACAACCUGUAUACUGUCUGCAAUUACAUUUUCAGUUUCUUUCAUAAAUAAAUACCCAACUCAAGAUUUCCAAUUAAAACAGUACGUCAGGAACAGGUACUGUUACCUGACAAAUCUUUAAUUUCUCUUCAAUAACUGGCAAGGGAGUGACAGAGGCCAAGACAAUGUCAUCUCCAGAAAGAUUAGGGACCUGAGGAGUAUUUGCUGGAGUUGGUGCAAGAAGUCCCAUUGGAGAAUUAACAAAUCCUUGAAGAUGCAGAAAAGGACGGCUCUCCAAAGAAAGUUUUGAGAGCUCUGCCUCUUCUUCAACUUUCUGCAAGAGGGUUUUCACUUGACCCCUAAGCAAUGCCUCUCCCGACCCAGGUGUGUUGGGGAUGUUGUCUUGGCUCUACUGUUCUUUUGCUUGGCUAAUGCUGAUGAUGGAGUCUCUAAAAUUCCCAUUGCAAUCCCAACAAUUGGUGAAUCAUUUGUUAUAUCAAUAAGUGCAGACCUAUCUUGUAGUUGUUGUUUUGCAUUCUUCCUUCUUGAUUUCGUUACACCCUUAUCAGAAGAAUCUUCAAUCUUCCCUGAAAUAGCAUCAACAACCAAGAAAUCUCAACAAACAAAUCCAGAAACUGUAUAAAGAUCAUUCUUUAUCAAUCCAAGAUUGAACAAAACCAAGGAUUAAUGCAAAACCAUUAUUUCCCAAUCUUUGAUUUCAAAGGGAAUGGAUGAAAACACUUACUUGAGAGGGGAAUAUUGUUGUUGGUGUUAAGAGCAGCAAGAGUUUGUGAUCUUGUAACUCUUUUUGUUGAAGAUGGGGUCUCCAUUGAAAUUAAUUCAAGAAGGGAAUAAGAAAAAGAAUCCGAGAGAAGAGAAUGAGAGAAAAACACAAAGCAAGAAAGCAGAAUUGAAAGCAAAAAAAUACAAAGUAAUGGAUGUUUUUGACAUAGUAGAUAGGGUUUAUAAAGUGAGAGAAUCUGACCGUUGGAGCCUAAACACAAGCACACGGAUUCGCACAUUUGCAGGGAAACUAGCCGUUAUGGUGGAUUAAUUUUGAAUAGUGUGCCUCCGGUUUUCUUUCGCACAGUUCCUUUGUUUGGGUUGGAGAUUUGGACUUGGUAUAUUGGGCUGAUCCUUUUAACCGGAAAGAAAUAAUGGAACUUUCUAAAGAUGCCCACUUCCUUUGAUACAUUUGAAUUUUAUACACACACACACUGUGUGUGAUCUUCCAAGAAAAAAUAAACCUUUUUUUUUUUUUAAUUUGUGAGAAUAAUUGGAUCAAAUUAACGGGGAAAUUGAAAAUAAAAUAAAGUAUUGAGUGAUUUGCUUCCAAAUAUAAACAUCUAUAUGAUUUUUCAAAAAAUAUAAAAUCAUGAUAAAAGCAGGUUGUGACCUGAUUUUUUUAAAUAAGUGUUGGAAGGUAUUCAAGAGUAUAUUGUGGUUGCUUUUCAAAGUGUUUUUCAUUUAGAAAUGCAUCAAUAAUUUUUUUUUAAAAUCAUUUUUGAUAUUCACAUCAAAACAAUCCAAAAACACUAAAAAAUAUUAAUUUUAAGCAAAACAAAUUAAAAUUUUUGAGAAUACAGGCUGGACGCAUUUCCAAACAAUCUAUUAACCUCAAAGACAUGAUUUCUUUAUUCAAUUAUUUCUUGUUUUUUUAGAUUGUUUUGUGAAGCAACUUUUAAUGCAUGUUAUAUAUACGUUAAUUUGUUCAAACUGUUAUGUAUAAAGUUAUUAAAAAUAUUUCUUUAACACGACACAGAAAUACAAUAUAAAUUUGAAUAAUAAAAAUAAAUAGUAAAAUCAUAAAAUUAUAAGUAUUGUUUUUAUACAUGGUUAGUACAAACAAUAAAUAAUAUUAUCAAUAAAGAUAAUUUGAUAGUUAUUCCCAAUGAAAUGUUAGCAAUAGUACAAAGAUUUUUUUAUUUAAGAUUAGGUUAGACCAUCCUAUUUUCAAAAGACUACAAGAUAAGUAAACUCGGUUAAGAUGCAAAGGUAUCAAAGUUAUCUUAAGGAGAUUAAUUCCAAGGAGAGAUAUGGAGUUUAUUGAAGUGGAGUACUUUCAAGUUCUUUCUUUCAAGACUUGAGAUGAAUGAGUUUGAAGGUACGAGAUUCAAGAUGUAUUUAUCCUAAUUUUUGACAAAAAAAUAAAUGCAUAGCCAUGGAUGUCAAUAAAGUUGGUGAAGCAACAAGAAGAUUUCGUGUGAAAAGGGUUCAUCAUUUAAGCAAGAAGCUCUAAUAGCUUGUUUGAUAGUAUUUUUUAAAUAAUUUUACGUUAAAAUAUAUGUUAAUGAUAUUUUUUUAAUUUUUAAAAAUUAUUUUUAACAUCAGUACAUCAAAAUAAUUUAAAAACACUAAAAACAUAUUAAUUUGAAACAAAUAAAAAAAUAACUUUUUUUUAAUUUUUUUCAAAAAUAUUUUUAAAACACAAAAACAAACAAAUCCUAUAAAAAACUUUUUUUCGGUUUCCAUUCAUAAAUGAAAAAGUCUUUGCAGCCUCUUGACUUUAACUAUAAACCCUUCACCUGAAGUUGCACUACCUGAUGUAUCAGGUGACAUGCAUCAGUCAUUGAACUUGUAGUGUCUUCAAUCGAAGAAAUACCAAAUGGGUAGGGAAAUUGUAUAUCCCCCCGCCCGCCGGCGCCCCGCCCAUAUAUCAUGCAAUUAUUAUCAAAUAAUGUUUAUUAAAUAGUGUUAGUUUUACCCCCAAAAUAAUUAAAGUUGGAUAAUAAUUACUGGGGAUAACGUCAAAAUAUAACGUGAUUUCUUAAUAAAAAAACAUGUUCAUGAAAUAAAAAUAUUUUUUUGUAAAAAUAAAAAACAUAAAUAAAAAAUUUACCUGAUAAUUUUUUAAAAGUUUAAAUAAUUUUUUUUAUAUAGAUAUCUAUUUUAACUGAUAUAAAAAUAAAUUUUAAAAAUCUUCACGCGAGAAAAAAUGGUGUUAAAGAACAGAAAAAAGAAAAAAGAAAUUAAAAUAGGCGUUGAUGGAAAGGUAGGGAGAGACCGGGGGUAGGUAGAAAGGCACUGGGUAGGCAGAUAACUUUUGGACUUUUAGGUGAUGAAAAUGCACGUGACGACCUAGGAAGGGGUUGGAUUCCUAACCUUCUUAUAUAGGAAUUCUUUAUUAUUUUAUUUAUUUAUUUUUGGAAAUCUUCCUGCAUCACACAUAAUGACUUUAAUCAUGAAUGAAGCUAUUAAUCCAUGUCUGUUUUUUUCUAAAAUAUUUUUGAAAUUAAGGAAAUGAUCAUGUGUUUAUUAUUAAAUCAAAGUAUAUAAUUAUUUAUUUGAUUGCUCAUAACAAAUCGCAAUUUGUGGAAAAACAAAUUAAACAAAAGAGUAUAAUGGAGGCUGGAGAAUGGGGACAGAAGAUUAAUUAUGUAAUGGCUCAUCAGAUUAAAAUACUAAUUUUCUUUAGAAAUAAUCAAUUGAAGAGUAUACUAAUUUUCUUUUGCAUGUUACCCACUUAUUAUUCUGUCGGUGGUUUUGUUAAAAAUACUUCAAUUGACAGAAUCAUAAAUGAUUAUUGUUUGUCAAAAAAACUUAUUUAUAGAAGUAAAAACAAAUUACUUUAUAAUUUUGCCAAUAAUUCCAUUUAUAAGUAUGACAUGUUAUUAACAGAAAAUAUCAUUUGUAAUUUCAUCGGUGAUUUAUUUUUAUAUUAACAAUAUAAUUAACUUGUCGGUGAUUAAAUAAUGUCAGCGGCAUUUCUUAUAUUUUUUUUCCAAUUCUUUGCAACUCUAUAAUGAGUUUAGCCCAUCGAUGAUUCGUUUGCAAUAAUAAGUGGUAUUUCAGGUAAUUUUUAGUAUGUAAGUAAGUGCAUCAAUAAGUUGAUUAAUUUAUUUUAUUUUAUUUUAUUACAAUUAGAAUAGGACCUAUUACUGGAAUGGGUUGCCAAUCACUAAAUUCUUGGUUUAAUUAUUUCCAAACAGAGAAAAUUACAGUCAAUUCAUUUAAAACACGAAGAUAACAAAUGGGGUUUUCCUCCUGAGUUGUUAGCGAUCACCAAUGGAGCACGAAACCUGGCAUACAAAUUAAAAGCUAAAUAGGACGACAAUAAGUCUAAAUUAAGCACAAAAUCAUCCACCCCAUUAUUAUAUUUUCAUUAUUGAGAGAUUGUGAAAAUUAAGAAUAUACAAAUAUCCUCUUCAAUCUCUAUCCAAGGAGUUUGGUAACCUCAUUGCCUCACGAGCAACGGAGCUAAGGAGAGGUAGUUGGCUCAUGCCAACAUCCCCUAUUACACACAAACCAUAGCUAAUUAGGUACUCUCUAACCAGGGUAGUUAAAUACCGGCAUUUGCAUCCCCAUUAUUUGCUUUUAUAAGAUCUAGGAGAAACCACUUCAAGCACUCAAGGCUAGGACAAAAACACAAGCACUCAAGUCUUCGACCUAAAAUCAAGCAGAAAACGAUGGCCCCUUCUACCCUCACAGCUCUGGCAGAAGAGAAAACCCUCCAAGCAAGCUUUGUUCGCGACGAAGAUGAACGUCCGAAGGUGGCUUAUAACCACUUCAGCAAUGAAAUCCCUGUCAUUUCAAUAGCUGGGAUUGAUGAUGGUGGUGAAAAGAGAGCUGAAAUAUGCAACAAGAUCGUCGAGGCAUGCGAGGACUGGGGAGUUUUUCAAAUUGUUGAUCAUGGCGUUGAUGCUAAGCUGGUGUCUGAAAUGACAACUCUUGCUAAAGAGUUUUUUGCUUUGCCACCGGAAGAGAAGCUUCGGUUUGAUAUGUCUGGUGGCAAAAAGGGUGGCUUCAUUGUCUCCAGCCAUUUACAGGUAUAACUUCUUUUACGUUUUGUUUUCUAAAUUUAACAAUUACGCACAGACCUUUAUUGUUAAAUUCCCUAUCGGACUGAUCUUUUUCCAAAUUAAAAAUACAUGUUUCCAACUCAAAAAUAUACCAUGCCAAGGCAACAAGUAGUUGGUGCCCCGCUAGCUAGCAGGCAAAAUCAAUCAAACUUCUUUGAAAUAGUUAAACAGUUUUUUUGAGUUUUUUUAUUAUAUAAUCUUGAUUAGAAACUUAAAAGAAUACUUUAUUCAGUUUGGUUUCACUAUAUAUAUUGGGUUUUUUUUUUUUUAAUGAGAUAGAGUGGGUAAAGUAAAAGUACAAUGCCUCACUUUAGGAAUCAGUAUCAUCAAGUACUUGAUGCUUUGAAGAUAGUAGACAGUACUAAUUUUUAAUCAAUAUCCUGAUUUAUGAUCUUAUAAAACAGGGAGAGGCAGUUCAAGACUGGCGUGAAAUAGUGACCUUCUUCUCAUACCCGAUUCGCACCAGAGACUAUUCAAGGUGGCCUGACAAGCCAGAGGCAUGGAAAGCAGUGACCGAGGAAUACAGUAAGAAGCUAAUGGAACUUGCUUGCAAGCUUCUUGGCGUCUUGUCAGAGGCCAUGGGAUUAGAAACAGAGGCCUUAACUAAGGCUUGUGUUGACAUGGACCAAAAGGUGGUGGUCAAUUUCUAUCCAAAAUGUCCACAGCCAGACCUUACACUUGGACUCAAACGCCAUACCGAUCCCGGCACCAUCACCCUCUUGCUCCAGGACACCGUUGGAGGUCUUCAGGCCACUAGAGAUAACGGAAAGACUUGGAUCACCGUUCAACCUGUUGAAGGUGCUUUUGUGGUCAAUCUCGGAGACCACGGUCAUGUGAGUAUGAAACUAAAAUAUUUCCUGUUAAAUACCAGCACUACUCACCGUGAUUAAUUGUACUAAAACUAAAUGGUAUGUUUGCGAGGCAGUAUCUGAGCAAUGGAAGAUUCAGGAACGCAGACCAUCAAGCUGUGGUGAACUCAAACUCCAGCAGGUUGUCCAUAGCCACAUUCCAGAACCCAGCACCAGAUGCUACAGUGUACCCUCUCAAGAUCAGAGAGGGAGAGAAGUCGGUGCUAGAUGAGCCAAUAACAUUUGCUGAGAUGUACAGGAGGAAGAUGAGCAAGGACAUUGAGAUAGCCAAUAAAAAGAAGUUGGCUAAGGAGCAGCUGCUGAAAGAUUUGGAGAAAGCCAAGUUAGAAACUAAGCCCAUUGACGAGAUCCUUGCUUGAAAAUGUCAUUUGCUGUCAAGAAUUUAUGUGCUGGCCGUCUUUUACUCUGUCUGAUCAUGUUUUUCAUUGUGUCUGUUUAGUUUGAUGGUGAAAAUGUGUUGAGUCUGUGGGUUAUCUAAGAGUAAACCUCGCUUCUUAUAGAAAAAAAAGAAGAAAUUUCUCCACCACCAUGGAAGUCUUCAAUUUGUUGUCCAGGGACAGGGUUCUUUUGUUCUAAAAUAUCAUUCAGAGCUUUUAGCUGUAUCAUGGAAUGGAAUUAUGAAAAUAGUCCUUUAACAUUCUUCAUUCAAUAAAAUGAGAGCUGUAUCAUUGUAUGUCUGAAAACUAAAUCCUUUCUUCUCUCCAAGCAUUGAAAUAUAAGGAUCCAGCCUCUGGGCUUGAGGCCCAAUAGUCUAGCUGCACCUCCGAGAGACAGCAUUUCCUCGCCAGGAGACCAAGCUGUAAUUUGAGGAGUACAUCCCACUGGAUCACGGAAAUCAAGCUUAAAAAGGAGGUGCCACAUGCAAUUAUCUGGUGUCAAGUUGAAUGGGAUGAUGUUAGUCAAUAUUACAUCUAAUUUCCACUAAUUAAAGGACCAAAAUGCAAGUUUAUUAAAUAAAACGCAUCACUUUAGAAACUUGUCCUCUUAGAAAUUAGUUCAUUGAUCGUCAUCAACAAUACACAGCUCACCCAGCCCAAGAAUUAAAAGGAUGAUUUUUGCAUUGUUUAUUGUCAAUUUAGACCAUUCUUUCUAAGUAAUGCAAAUUAUAGGUGGCGAGUAUAAACAAAUCUACCUACAUGAUUCAAAGUUGUGUGAGUAACUUUCAACUCUAAAAUAAAGGAUUUCAUCUUCUUCCUUUAGUUUAUCUCUGCAACAAGAAAAUACACACACAAUCCCAUAAAUAAUAAUAAAAAAAACUUAUUUUGUGGUGUUCGACUUGUUCAAACCUAGAAUUACGAGUCCUUUGACCUCUCCUUACUGUGCAAUCAGCAAGUUUAUUAUUGGGUUUGAUGGUGGCUAUGAGAGUAUAUGUUUAAUUUCUCUUUUACAAGUGAUCCAAUAUUGAAAGAGUUUUUAUGGAAAUAUAUUUGUCUUUAUUAAAGAAAUAGGGUUAGUGAGGCCAGGAAAAAGGAAAGAUGAUAUACUUCAUUUUCUCAUUAAUUUCCAUUUUUCUUCAAUAUCUCUCUUUUUUUUAAUUUUUAUCGUCUCUCUAAAAUAAUAUUUAUAAUGCAUUUUCCAAUUCUUAAACGUACAUAUGCAUUCAUUCAUUUUCCUAUCCGUGUGUGGGUGUAAGAAAUUCACUUUCUCAUCCACAUUCUCGCCUCCAAACUAAAAGCAAUUACAAACAAGAUAGCAAAACAACUCCAUCACGUCCCUUUUCACUUAAAUGGAUUCCAUAGAAGACAUUUGCUACUGCAAAUAGAAUCAAAAUAUUCCCCACACAUUGUAGCGGUAUCAAUUCCUAAACUUUCCUACCUUUGACGACUUGUCUUGUCGAGUAAAAAAUAUCAUCUUUUAUAUAUAAAAAAAAUCAUAAGGGAUAGAUUAAUUGAUCAGGUUUUAAGUUUACUAUCUAAUAAUCACGAGUUUAAGUCCUCUCAGGGCUAUUAGAGACUUAUAUAAUCGUUAACUUUAAAAUCCAUAAAAUUAAUCGAGAUACGUAUAAGAUAAUUUAAACACACCCACGUUAAUAGAAAAAAAAAAUACAAGUCACAAUCUUAGAGAGAGAGAGAGAGAGAGAGAAUAUUCAGUUAACCCUUUUUCCUUUUCUAACAAAUAAAAGGUAUAAAUUUGGAAUUUAACAACUCGUAUCAAUUGAAUUGCAUAAUCGAGUAAUUAUGUAACGAGAUUUUCCUGACAUGAAGGCAUCCAAGAACAAGGAAGACCCCAAAACCCUUGUGGGUAGACACAUCAGCACCAAGACGAUGUUGAAGGACGAGUCCGCAGAUGAAAACAGCUAUACCUAGUAAAAAUCCCAAUGAUCGAAUACAAGUAUGGACAUAGAACCACAUAGGAUCUCAUUUCCUGAAUUAGCAAGCAAUUAUUGCUCCGUUUAUAAUCAAAAUACCCCAGCCAGCCAUGUUCAAUGCUCCAUGGCUCUUCCUUAAUCUUGACUGUGGGAGUGAGGUUUUCUAUUUUACCGAAAAAGUUUAUUAUGUAAGUCUAUAUAUAUGGUCUUAAAAAGAAACGGAAUAAAAUCCAAAUAUAUAAAUAAAAAUUAUACCUUCAUUAUUGUAUUUUUAUUUUGUUUAAGAUUCGUAACUAGGUUUGUAAUUAGCAACGCUUGAUUUGUUUGUUUUUUCUUUCUUUUUUUCACAGGUUUCUUUGCAUGAAUCAUUCGUGGCAGAGCAUUCAGCUGGAAAAAAAAAGUGCACUUCGACUCUUUUUAGGGUUGUGUUUGCACUAGAAUUUUAAUAAUAUUUGAAUGUUUUAUUUAAAAUUAUUUUUAUUUUUUUUAGUUUGUUUUGAUGGGCAUACAAAAAUUAUUUGUAAAAAAUAAAAAAUUAUAUAUUAUUUAGAUGUAUUUUUUUUUAGUAAGUACUUAAUCUUGAAACAAGAGGGAUAGAGAAAACGAAAAAUUAUUAUAUUUUCAAUAUUGAGAGAUUGUGAAAAUUAAGAGUAUACAAAUAUCCUCUUCAAUGUCUAUCUAGAAGGAAGAGGGAUAAAGAAAACGAAAAAUUAAAAGUUUGGUAACUAGGAACAACCUCACUCCCUCACGAGCCAAGGAGCUAAGGAGAGGUAGUUGGCACAUGCCAACAUCCCCUAUUAUAUAUGCACACGAACCAUAGCUACUCUCUAACCAGGGUAGUUAAAUAACAGCAUUUGCAUCCCCAUUUUUUGCUUUUAUAAGAGCUAGGACAAAAAGACAAGAACUCAAGUCUUCGACCUAAAAUCAAGCCGGCAACGAUGGCCCCUUCUACCCUCACAGCUCUGGCAGAAGAGAAAACCCUCCAAGCAAGCUUUGUUCGCGACGAAGAUGAACGUCCGAAGGUGGCUUAUAACCACUUCAGCAAUGAAAUCCCUGUCAUUUCAAUAGCUGGGAUUGAUGAUGGUGGUGAAAAGAGAGCUGAAAUAUGCAACAAGAUCGUCGAGGCAUGCGAGGACUGGGGAGUUUUUCAAAUUGUUGAUCAUGGCGUUGAUGCUAAGCUGGUGUCUGAAAUGACAACUCUUGCUAAAGAGUUUUUUGCUUUGCCGCCGGAAGAGAAGCUUCGGUUUGAUAUGUCUGGUGGCAAAAAGGGUGGCUUCAUUGUCUCCAGCCAUUUACAGGUAUAACUUCUUUUACGUUUUGUUUUCUGAAUUUAACAAUUACGCAGACCUUUAUUGUUAAAUUUCCUAUCGGACUGAUCUUUUUCCAAAUGAAAAAUACAUGUUUCCAACUCAAAAAUAUACCAUGUGCCCGGCUAGCUAGCAAGCAAAUCAAUCAAACUUCUGUGAAAUAGUUCAACAAUUUUUUUGAGUUUUUUUUAUUAUAUAAUCUUGAUUAGAAACUUAAAGGAAAAAUUAAUUCAGUUUGGUUUCGGAUUCUUAGAAACUGAAAAAAAACAAAACCAUGAAUUAUUAGGCUUGGCACGACAGAAUUGACUGAAGAGCAAUACCUAAUAUAUCCAGUUUUGCUAGUAAAUCAUUUCUUGAUUACGCAAGAUCAAGAAAGCCACUAUUUUGGUUCAGGAAUUUCUCUUCCCCGCAAUAUGAAUGUGUAUUCUGUCCUUACAGACGAAAUUAUACGCUAAGAAGGUCUAUGAAAGUGUAGUAGAGGUUGCUUUUUUAAUAGUUUUUCGUGCCGAAAAGCAUGCUAAUAAUGUUUUUUUAUUUUUAAAAAAUUAUUUUUAAUAUCAACACAUCAAAACGAUUCAAAAAGUACAAACCGCACUUAAUUUUAACAAAAAAUAAAUUUAAAAUUUUUUAAAAAACAAGUUCAACAGCAAUAUCAAACGAACACUAAGAUUACAAGGUCAACAAGGGAAUAGUUGUAAUUUAACUGACUACUAUCAGCACACAUGGUGGAGCUAAGACUUUUAUUCUUGUAUGGUCUAAACUAAUCAUGACUUCUUGACAUACACGCACAUCACUAUAUAUAUAUAUAUAUUGGUUUUUUUUCUUCUUAAUGAGAUAGAGUGAGUGAAUUAAAAGUACAAUGCCUCACUGUAGGAAUCAACAAGGACUGAAAAGGAAAAAAAUUAGCUAUGAACAGUGACUUGAACAUGAAAAAUGAGAAAAGGGUCGUCGUCGGCCACUGCUUCAUAACAACAGUAAUAGGCCAAUCUAUUUUAGUUCUUUGUAAUAUCAUCAAGUACUUGAUGCUUUGAAGAUAGUAGACAGUACUAAUUUUAAAUCGAUUUCCUGAUUUAUGAUCUUAUAAAACAGGGAGAGGCAGUUCAAGACUGGCGUGAAAUAGUGACCUUCUUCUCAUACCCGAUUCGCACCAGAGACUAUUCAAGGUGGCCUGACAAGCCAGAGGCAUGGAAAGCAGUGACCGAGGAAUACAGUAAGAAGCUAAUGGAACUUGCUUGCAAGCUUCUUGGGGUCUUGUCAGAGGCCAUGGGAUUAGAAACAGAGGCCUUGACUAAGGCUUGUGUUGACAUGGACCAAAAGGUGGUGGUCAAUUUCUAUCCAAAAUGUCCACAACCAGACCUUACACUUGGACUCAAACGCCAUACCGAUCCCGGCACCAUCACCCUCUUGCUCCAGGACACCGUUGGAGGUCUUCAGGCCACUAGAGAUAACGGAAAGACUUGGAUCACCGUUCAACCUGUUGAAGGUGCUUUUGUGGUCAAUCUCGG